rnacentral:rRNA from 1 species
AUUGAACGCUGGCGGCAGGCUUAACACAUGCAAGUCGAGCGGAGAUGAGGUGCUUGCACCUUAUCUUAGCGGCGGACGGGUGAGUAAUGCUUAGGAAUCUGCCUAUUAGUGGGGGACAACAUUCCGAAAGGAAUGCUAAUACCGCAUACGUCCUACGGGAGAAAGCAGGGGAUCUUCGGACCUUGCGCUAAUAGAUGAGCCUAAGUCGGAUUAGCUAGUUGGUGGGGUAAAGGCCUACCAAGGCGACGAUCUGUAGCGGGUCUGAGAGGAUGGUCCGCCACACUGGGAAUGAGACACGGCCCAGACUCCUACGGGAGGCAGCAGUGAGGAAUAUUGGACAAUGGGGGGAACCCUGAUCCAGCCAUGCCGCGUGUGUGAAGAAGGCCUUAUGGUUGUAAAGCACUUUAAGCGAGGAGGAGGCUACUGAGACUAAUACUCUUGGAUAGUGGACGUUACUCGCAGAAUAAGCACCGGCUAACUCUGUGCCAGCCGCCGCAGUAACAC